GAUCCGGAUCCCGUGUCUUCCAACCACCACUCGAGAGUUCUUCUUCACCGUGCUGUUAGUCGCUGUUUCCAGAGGUUUUAGCCGGAGAAGCUGGCUUACACCGCCGUUUCCGGCAAAGAGAAAUGGCGUUGUGUAUAGAUUGGUGACGGAAGUCGAGAAAAGGAAGAAGAGUACUAAAUGGCUGAAUCGGAACCCUAGAAUCAAGCUGAUCAAGCAGCAGAGACCAUGAAUCACGAACCAAAACACAGACGACGGAGAUUUGCCAUCGAAUGAUGGAUCCAACGACGGCGAUGAUCUGAAACUACUUCCUCGACGGUUCCAAUAGCUCAAUCGAAACACAGAGAGCUUCAUCGUCUUCUUCUUCUUCCUUCUUCUCAACAGUGAGCGAACGAAACCAUAAAAG